rnacentral:rRNA from 1 species
GAUUUAUUGGGCGUAAAGGGAGUGUAGGCGGUCUUUUAAGUCUGAUGUGAAAGCCCACGGCUCAACCGUGGAGGGUCAUUGGAAACUGGAGGACUUGAGUGCAGAAGAGGAAAGUGGAAUUCCAUGUGUAGCGGUGAAAUGCGCAGAGAUAUGGAGGAACACCAGUGGCGAAGGCGACUUUCUGGUCUGUAACUGACGCUGAGGCGCGAAAGCGUGGGGAGCAAACAGGAUUAGAUACCCUGGUAG